rnacentral:tRNA from 1 species
GCGGGGGAGGCUCAGAUGGCAGAGCGCAAGCCUUCCAAGCUGGAUUUCGCGGGCGCGAAUCCCGUCCCCCGCU